rnacentral:lncRNA from 1 species
UGAAGAUUAGAGCUCCCCUGAUGAAAACAGCAGCCAUCCCCAGCAACAGCAAGGCCCUGAGCUCCUCCUCCAACAAGAACAGCCUAGUCUGCAUCAGGGAAACCAUCCACAACAGAAAUGCUACCCACCUCUCAAGUUUUAAAAGUGGCACAAUUUCAGGUAAUCAUUAUAAAUAUUAUAUGAAAUUGUUCAGCCCUACUGAUUCCAAG